rnacentral:misc_RNA from 1 species
GAUGAAGAACGCAGCGAAAUGCGAUAAGUAAUGUGAAUUGCAGAAUUCAGUGAAUCAUCGAAUCUUUGAACGCACAUUGCGCCCUCUGGUAUUCCGGGGGGCAUGCCUGUCCGAGCGUCAUUACAACCCUCAAGCUCAGCUUGGUGUUGGGCCCCGCCGCCCCGGCGGGCCCUAAAGUCAGUGGCGGUGCCGUCCGGCUCCGAGCGUAGUAAUUCUUCUCGCUCUGGAGGCCCGGUCGUGUGCUCGCCAGCAACCCCCAAUUUUUUUCAGGUUGACCUCGGAUCAGGUAGGGAUACCCGCUGAACUUAAGCAUAUCAAUAAGCGGAGGA